GGAUUGUGGGCUGCAACCCGCCCACAUGAAGUCGGAGUUGCUAGUAAUCGCGGAUCAGCAUGCCGCGGUGAAUACGUUCCCGGGCCUUGUACACACCGCCCGUCACACCAUGGGAGUUGGGAGUGCCCAAAGCCGGUGAGGCAACCUUCGGGAGCCAGCCGUCUAAGGCAAGACCAAUGACUGGGGUGAAGUCGUAACAAGGUAUC
rnacentral:rRNA from 1 species